UACGUAGGGCGCAAGCGUUGUCCGGAAUUAUUGGGCGUAAAGAGCUCGUAGGCGGUCUGUCGCGUCUGCUGUGAAAACUCAGGGCUUAACCCUGAGCUUGCAGUGGGUACGGGCAGACUAGAGUGCGGUAGGGGAGACUGGAAUUCCUGGUGUAGCGGUGAAAUGCGCAGAUAUCAGGAGGAACACCGGUGGCGAAGGCGGGUCUCUGGGCCGUAACUGACGCUGAGGAGCGAAAGCAUGGGGAGCGAACAGG
rnacentral:rRNA from 1 species